rnacentral:rRNA from 1 species
GAAUAUUGGACAAUGGGCGAAAGCCUGAUCCAGCCAUGCCGCGUGUGUGAAGAAGGUCUUCGGAUUGUAGAGCACUUUAAGUGGGGAGGAAGGGCAGUAAGCGAAUACCUUGCUGUUUUGACGUUACCGACGGAAUAAGCACCGGCUAACUCUGUGCUAGCAGCCGCGGUAAUACAGAGGGUGCAAGCGUUAACCGGAAUUACUGCGCGGAAAGCACGCGUAGGUAGUUCGUUAAGUUGGAUGUGAAAUACCCGGGCUCAACCUGGGAACUGCAUCCAAAACUGGCGAGCUAGAGUAGGGCAGAGGGUGGUGGAAUUUCCUGUGUAGCGGUGAAAUGCGUAGAUAUAGGAAGGAACACCAGUGGCGAAGGCGACCACCUGGGCUCAUACUGACACUGAGGUGCGAAAGCGUGGGGAGCAAACAG